ensembl:lncRNA
CAGAAAAGUUCCCAGCUGGGAAUCUAUGUAUUCAGCAGUAGGGUUGAAUCUUCUCUUUAUCUUUGCAGAGUAAGGCAUGAGACCACUGGCCUACAGAGAUGCAUAAAUGAUGAGUGAAUCAAAUGAAUAAAUGGUUCUCACCUUGUAGGAACUCAGAGGAGGAGACAAUAAACAGAUAACAGUAACUCCAUGUAGUCCUGCCAUCUCUGCCUCGGCCUGCUUGAUGCGACUGUCUCCUUUGAGAGCCCUUGAAAAAGCCCCUUGCCCGUCAGAAGCUUUUCCUGUCAACAGCUUUUCUUUCCCAGCAUGGAACUCAUCGCAGAAAACGCUUCCCCAAGGGAGUUCCAGGCAGAAGGCUAUCCACCCUGUGACAUGCACUGUUCAAGAGAGGUGCUUGCUCAGUCUCAGUCACUCUGUCAUAUCCAACUCUUUAUGACCUCAUGGACGAUGGCCCACCAGGCUCCACUGUUCGUGGGAUUUUUCAAGCAACAAAAUUGGAGUGGGUUGCCAUUUCCUCCUCCAAGGACUCUUACUGGACCAGGGAUCGAACCUGCAUCUUCUCCAUUGGUAGGCGCAUUGUAUACCACUGAGCCACCUGGGAGGCCCAUGAGAGGAGUCAAAGAUGGGGCCUUGAGAAUAGACCUGUUAACCUAAAGGAUGGGCCAUGGGUCCCUAGUGGCUCUGGCCUGAGUGCCCGGGCAGCUUCCUCCAUCCACUCCCUGCGUAACAAAGAUGUAGCUACUUUGGAGCAGCAACAAACAUGACUUCAGCGGGCUGUUGGGCAGUUGGAGGGCUCUCUAUUUGCAUCUAAUGAGAGGCUGGGUUCUAAUUAACUCCUGUGAUGUGUUAAUUUUUCAACCUGACAUUUUCUGCUCUAAUAGAUUCUUGUAAUGGUUCCUAAAUUAAAGGCUGCAUUUGCAGCCUAACGUUUAGGUUAAAAUCCACCACCUAGGGGGUGGGGGAGGUGGCCCAUAAACAUCCUUUCCCUCCUAAGGGAAACCUCUCAUUUGCAGUUCUUUGCUAACCCAAUUAAGUGCUGAAGUAGUCACCCUAGAGCCUGCUUUUUAUUUCCUGCGAAACAAUCCAACUAAUCCAUAUUCAGUAGCUUCCAAGAAAAGUCUUAUUCCAACCACUCAUGAAGAAACCAGCUUCUCUGAAUCUGGACAGAACAUUUAAAACUCACAAAGAGCUGUCUUGAUAGAAAAUGUAAGAAAGUGGUUCAUUAUUAUCC